CCACAUUAACAAACACAAAAAUCUGCAAAUCAAAAGGGAAAUCAAGGUGAUUCCAUUUCUUUUUGAGGAAAUUUGAUUAUCUAACAUCAAGCAAACUUAAGUGUUAUGGCAACUCAAGUGACACACCGGUAGACCAAACGGGAAAGGAUACUUGUCUCAAAGGGAAGCUUUAAGGCAAACUAAACAUGAGGCACUGGAUGGAAGACCAAGCUACUCAAAGAACCGAACAUACCCAAAUGCCUACUAAUUUCUGUCUUUUUUCUUGUUCAUGUUUCUGUAAAAUGUUAAAAUGAUGACUUGUGGUUUGAGUCAAACCAUUACACUACUUUUGU
rnacentral:lncRNA from 1 species